rnacentral:tRNA from 1 species
GGCCGAAUAGCUCAGUUGGUAGAGCAGCGGAUUGAAAAUCCGCGUGUCGCUGGUUCAAUUCCAGCUUCGGCCACCA